rnacentral:siRNA from 1 species
AGAAGCCUAAUCCCAUGGUAUCCA